CAAAGUAUAGCUUAUAUAAAGCAUCUAGUUUACACCCAGAAGAUUUCACAUUAAAUGAAUACUUUGA
rnacentral:tRNA from 1 species